GCAAGUCGAGGGGCAGCAUUUACUUCGGUAAGAUGGCGACCGGCGAACGGGUGCGUAACGCGUAUGCAACCUACCUUAUACAAAAGGAUAGCCCAUGUAAACGUGGAUUAAUACUUUAUAGUACUAUAAAACUGCAUAGUUUAAUAGUUAAAAUUUCGAUGGUAUAAGAUGGGCAUGCGUAGGAUUAGCUAGAUGGUGAGGUAACGGCUCACCAUGGCCACGAUCCUUAGGGGUUCUGAGAGGAUGAUC
rnacentral:rRNA from 1 species